rnacentral:rRNA from 1 species
UACGGAGGGUGCAAGCAUUGAUCGGAAUUACUGGGCGUAAAGGGCGCGAAGGCGGCCUGAGAAGUCAGAUGUGAAAAUCCGGGGCUCAACCCCGGAACGGCAUUUGAAACUCUCAAGCUAGAGUACAGUUAGGGAAAACGGAAUUCCACGUGUAGCGGUGAAAUGCGUAGAUAUGUGGAAGAACACCGGUGGUGAAGACGGUUUUCUGGGCUGUAACUGACGCUAAAGCGCGAAAGCUAGGGGAGCAAACAGG